rnacentral:ncRNA from 1 species
GCUUCGGGCUGAGAUAAUAGGGAAUUGGGUGCGAAUCCCAAGCGAUCCGGUCACUGUGUUCGGAGAGCGAAGCCGCAUAACGCCAUUGCGAGAGCGAGAAGGCGCGGCCCAGCGAUGACCCGUAAGUCAGGAGACCUGCUCGGCGUGA